rnacentral:rRNA from 1 species
AGAUUGCAGGCUGNAACCGCCUGCAUGAAGUCGGAAUUGCUAGUAAUCGCGGAUCAGCAUGCCGCGGUGAAUACGUUCCCGGGCCUUGUACACACCGCCCGUCACACCAUGGGAGCCGGUAAUACCCGAAGUCAGUAGUCCAACCUCGUGAGGACGCUGCCGAAGGUAGGAUUGGCGACUGGGGUGAAGUCGUAACAAGGUACC